UGAUCCUUCGAUGUCGGC
rnacentral:ncRNA from 2 species